UUUUCCGAGGGGUGCCUUGAGUAAGAAAAAGGUUGAGAACCACUGGUCUACAGUCACACUUCCGACUUCCCUACUAGCCUUUCUAAUAUAUGUUCUCUUCUGACUUACAUAAGUAAAAGAGUAUCUAACAUAUCAUAUACUUCCUCUUGGAAUAUAUACCUUAUAAUAACAGUAUGGGAUAAGAUGUUUCUGCAUAAAAGAUAAACAUCUAAGGAAUCUACGUCCUUCUCUAACAGAAUUCAGCCGUAGGUCUUACUAGUGUGCCAUGACGCUAAAGUGUGUAAAUUGCAUUAAAAAUUCUAUUGCACUAUCUGGACUUUCAUUUGUCUCCUUGCAGAUAUAAUAAAAUUAUAAUUAUUUUCUUAUUCAUUUUUUAAAGGAAGCAGGGUAUUCAUGAAUCAGUUUUGCUAAAUAUCAGAAGGCAAGAUUUAUUAUGAUAGCUACAAGAAAUCAGUUAAGAAACUGGGUAUGCUGUGGGGAAGUUAGGUGUACACGAAGUAUACAAUAAUGUUAUACAUCAGGAAUGAAUUCUUCAUUCCUGACCUCUCACUUACCUUUCUUCAGGGUUAAGCCUUAACCCUUAAAAUAGUUAUACAACUGUACUGUGUAGGUAUGUUGUUUCAUUGACUUAAAUGGGACUCUCAUCUAUUAAGAAUAAUAACUCUCAUCUAUUAAGAAGACUUUUAUUAGGAUCUUGAACUGUAAACUGUUACUGUGGCGAGGACUGUGGAUAGGCUUGUAACUUUGUGUGCUGGGGGAGGAGGAACAUACUGCCAGGUCUACAGGAAUAGAAUCAGAUGCAAAGAAAGGCACCUAUAUAAAUUCAUUCUGUUUUUUUGUAGACAUUGACUCCUAGAAGCUUUCAUUGCUUUCAGUCAGAGGUAUUUUUUAAAUACAAAGAUCAGACUGCUUUUAAGUGUCUAAAUAUAUGUUUGCAGAUUUAAUUUUAUGCUCUUCAACUUGAAAAAUUGAAACUAUAAGUAAUAAUAAUAUAGAUUAGAUUUUGUAUUUUGCCUAUAUUAUAAACAUUCACCAAAAAAGGCAGAAUCAAGAGCAGAAAAAUAGCGUAAUUACUCUAUCCUAGUCUUACCAUCCAUUCACAAAGAUGAAGGUGAUGCUAUGUGUCCUCUCUGCUUAGACAGGAAUUCCUGAUGGUGAUUGCAGUUCAAUAGUUCAGCCAAUCAGAGAAAAAAAUCUCUGUUCUAUGGAAAAUUUCAGCACAACAUUUAUUUUUAUUCUAAAAAGUUGUCCUUUAUUGCAGAACAGAAAUCCCCCCCACCAAUAUUGAUUCAGAAACAUUGAAACAUUUCAUUUUGAUAAUAAUGAGUCCUUAUAUUUAGAUAACGUUAAAAUAGUAUGACAUAAACAAAUAUUUAUGAUAUAUAUUGCUAAAAUCACUAUUUUAAUAGAGAAGUUAAACAAAAAUUGAAAAAAUAAUGCAUGUAGAACGUCAUAACAUCAGGAGCUAAUAGCACUAGUCCAAUUGACACAGCUAGAAAUGAACUGGUACAUUUCUUAAAAUGCAGAGAGUAAUAAAAAUCAAACACAUAGUCUGAUUUAUAGUAAGAUCAUGAAAAUAGGGUGAAAUUGCGUUUCCAAAGGAAAACAGACAGGAAAACACAUAAAGUAGCUAAACUGGGGUAACUAAAAUAGUGAAUUUUUUACAUGAUUUAUUCUCAAAGACUGCAAUUUAUGGCAUCCCCAUUACAUAGUACCACUAUCUUAUCAACGGUUGCAAUUAUAAUCUAGUUUUAGAUUGGCCAGGUACAUUUCUUUAGAUGGUUUGCAAUCAUGAUAGUAAAGUUAUGACUUCAGAAGUUCAAGAGAGGAAAUUAAGACCUAGCACUUUAUAACAGGAACAUAAAUUAGAGGUCCUGACCUUUCCAUCUUAAGUCACAUGAGUAAAACUUACUAUAAUCACUGGUAGGUGCCUUAAAAUCAUUGAUUGUGCCCUAGUUUAAGAUGCUUAAAACUACUUUUGAAGGCUGUUUUAUAUCUUAAUAGAUACUGCUUUGCAUUCUCGUAGGGAAAGUCCAGCUAGUUUUGUUUCCCCUUUGUUGAGAGAGAAACAUUCUAAACUGGAAAAAAAAGCAAUUGCAUAAGGGUUUCUUGGUCACUAGGUCAGAUGGAGGGAGCGAAUCUUUUCAAACUAGAUUCCCUGAUGAAUAGUGAAAAACAACAGGAACACUUGCUAUAUUAUUUCAAAUGAAUUUUUGUAAAUAAGAUAAACCUAAUGUCUUUUCUUAUUAUUGGAUUAAGCAUUGCAGAUGUUGUGAAACACUAAAGCUCAGAAGAAAAUGCAUAGAGAGGCAGCUUUAGACCUGUGGAGCCCAAGCAGAUGCUAAGAAACCUUCACAAGUCUGAAAGAGGACACAGGUGAGAAACCUGGAAAUGAACAAGAAGUGAGGUUACAGAAUGCCAGCAAGCAGAUAGUGCAAGCUGCUAUCCUACAAGCUGUACA